GUCCACGCCCUAAACUAUGUCAACUAGACGUUGGCCUCUUUAAUGAGGUUAGUGUCGAAGCUAACGCGUUAAGUUGACCGCCUGGGGAGUACGGCCGCAAGGUUGAAACUCAAAGGAAUUGACGGGGGCCCGCACAAGCGGUGGAGCAUGUGGUUUAAUUCGAUGCAACGCGAAGAACCUUACCAGCCCUUGACAUCCUCGGAACUUGGUAGAGAUACCUUGGUGCCUUCGGGAAUCGAGAGACAGGUGCUGCAUGGCUGUCGU
rnacentral:rRNA from 1 species